UACGUAGGGGGCAAGCGUUGUCCGGAAUUAUUGGGCGUAAAGCGCGCGCAGGCGGUGCGUUAAGGCGGAUGUGAAAGGCUACGGCUCAACCGUAGAGCUGCAUCCGAAACUGGCGGACUUGAGUGCAGGAGAGGGGAGUGGACUUCCCGGUGUAGCGGUGGAAUGCGUAGAGAUCGGGAGGAACACCAGUGGCGAAGGCGACUCUCUGCCCUGUAACUGACGCUGAGGCGCGAAAGCGUGGGGAGCAAACACG
rnacentral:rRNA from 1 species